rnacentral:rRNA from 1 species
UACCGGCGGCCCGAGUGGCGGUCACUAUUAUUGGGCCUUAAACGUCCCUAGCCGGGUUGGGAAGUCCUCCGGGAAAUCUGGCCGCUUAACGGUCAGAAUGCCGGAGGAUACUCCCAGCCUAGGGAGCGGGAGAGGCCGAGGGUAUUCCCGGAGUAGGGGUGAAAUCCUAUAAUCCCGGGAGGACCACCUGUGGCGAAGGCGCUCGGCUGGAACGCGUCCGACGGUGAGGGACGAAGGCCAGGGGAGCAAACCGG